GCGGGCGCCGCGCCGCGCAUUCCCAGGGCCAGGCAACGGCAGCAGCACCGCCAUCAUCACCAUCGGCGAACAUCAACUGGGGGGAGAGAAAGAGGAGAAAAAGAGAGAGGUAGAACUAGACCAAGCCAGGGUUCGUUCGUUCGUUCGUUCGUUCGUUCGUUCGGGUUUGGUGUAGCCGUCUGUUGGAUGCGAAAGUGUACGAUUACGUCCGAGUAUCUCCGAUGGGAGUGAAACCGACGCUCGGCGUCCCGCGCAUAUGGUGGGUAUACGUAUGCAUCCAACCCUUCGACUUUGGUGCCGCCAUGGCGUCCCUUCCUACUUUUCGACAAAAUUCUAUUCCCGCUAUCGGCAAAGUAUGGGGUCCUGGGCGCGCCGAGGGAAAAAAGAACAAUCCCGAUAUCCACUCAAUUUAGAAAAUCGCGGGAUGCGGGGGAGAAAUGGCGAAAAACGCGAUAAAACGGCAAGACGGAAAAUUCGUAUGCUUUGGAUUUUUUUUGGAGAAUAAAGAAGAGAUAAUUUAAAUGAACGGUUGGGGUGCCGUGGGGUGUGGAGCAACGCUAUCGAUUGGAACGAAAAUUUUCGAGUCCCCGAGUCCGUGACGAAGGCGACGGGUGACGGGUGACGAAAAAAAGCGAUUCGGAAAAUAUUACACGCUCAAAAAUGACACGCUGUUUUCGCGUUACACUUGGUGUUUUCGCGUUAUCCGAUACCACUUAUCCCUACGAAUCGAACAGUUGUUCGGUGUAAUUAAUCACACGCCAAUGACGUUUCGUACCUUCGAAGUUACUCGGUUUUAUAAUCGCGGGUUCUCCACACGUCCCCGGCACAUACGUGAUAUGCUUUGACACGAUGUUGCGACAAACAACGAAAUGUCAACGUCCCUGGUAGAGGUCGAGGAUUUCGGAACACAGACUGCAGGGUGGAAGUAUUUGCCUCAAUUGAUUAUCUUUAUGUACCAUCGAUACGUAACUCCCGCUAGUUACGGAGUUGCGUCUAAUUUGAUAAAGCCUAUCACGCGGAUCGUCGAAUGGACGAAAUCCAACUCCGCAACUCGAAUCCUAUCCCCCUGCGCGCAUGUAUCGAAUGAAAAAACCACUCAGGGAAUACGAAAUACAAGUCGCACUUUGAAUGAGAAGCUUCGGCGAGAAGAAAGGGAUUGCGCAAAUGAAGGAAAACCGAGAAACUUGGUCGGAAAAGUGAGAAAAAACCACCCAAAAGCUAUGGUACUGGUUCCGAUCUAGCGAGAGACGGGGCGAAUCGGUACCGUCAUCUUUCGGGUUUUGCGAUUGGAACAAAAUGGAAACGCGACCGAAGCUCGGCGAAUUUUACUCCAAGUGCGCACCGUCGAAAAUUUCUCGGAAGGUAACGAUUCGAGUCUAGCAAUACCGUUUUUAUACCUGAAUUUCAAAUUCCUACAGGUAUGUAUAAACGCCGGCAUUCACGGGGUUCUUUGAAACUCGUAGUGGCAACGUUGUGGAACACGGGAUCGCAGGUGCUACCUACGGAAACCUACACUUACCGUUGGCCAAACCGACCAUCGGGUCUAGAAGGAGAGGAAAAAAAAACGAGAGAGAAACCGAAGCGGCAGGAAAAACACACGCGGUGUUCAAAAAUUACUCGGCCAUCCGGAGACUCAACGGACCGAACCACAUGUUCUAGAAAUCUGGGCUGUAAAGCGUUUUAAAAACUGCUUCGCUCCCAAAAAGAAAUCUGGCAGCAAUAUUUUGCUCGUUGAAAAUGUGAACGCCCCGCGGGAGUGCACAGUACGCUGCAACGCUAUUGCCGUUACCGCAAAUAUGUUGGCGCAUUUUUUUACCGACUUUUCAAGGUCGACGAUCGGUGUCUGGGGUCUUUUAUCGAUAAAAAAGUGAAACAUUCCAAUGUCAAUGGACACCAUAGCUGGAUCGCACAGGAAUCGAUACGAUAACAUCGUUUCACCACAAUUGGCGGGUACCAAUUAAUUUGAAAUGAAACUUGUUUGAAUAACGCAAGUUUGAAAAUGAUUAUCACACAUCUAUCUGUAUCAUCACAUACCGUAUAUUAUGAGAGGAUAAGACAAGAGGGUAUCGAUACGUUUACCGCACGUAAUAUCCCAAGGGCUCGCGUUACAUUCGUAUACGUAUAUAUUAUUCCCUCGUUUCGUACAGUCAGCGAAUUUCUUGCCGUAAAUAUACCACGUACAUAAUUGAAACGUACAUUUCGGUGCGUGUGAAAAAUUUGUAAUCGCAACCGUAAAAAAAAAACAAACCUCGGAACAUUUGGAGAGGAACGCUGGAACGAAUACUCGCGAGUUUUUUUUUCUAUUUUUUUUUUUUUUUUUUUUAAAUUACCACAUGUGUAACGUUGGACUGUACGCAACCAGGUGUGGACGGGUAGAGGGUAUUACGAAUAGAAGAUACAACACUUGAACCCUCGUUCAAUUCAAACAGAGGUACGCAGGUGAAGUAAAUAAGAUUGGAAUCUUCGCCAUCUAUAACCGAGCAAUUCCGUCGAAUGUAUAAUUCAGACUUCGACGUACAAAUGUAUCGAAUAGUAUCCAACGUGAUAACGACUUGUACCAAAAUUUAUUUUUACACCCGCGACGAUAUGGAAUAUGUAAUAGACAGCGGUGGAAGUGAUAGGCAGAUUGCAGGGAAAGGUGAAAAAAGGUGUAGAAUGUUAUCGUGACUCGUAAAAAUCCCGAACCCCGUGCGGUUAUUUGACCGGUGAGUUCGUAUGCUACUGUAGCGGUAUGAAACCGGGCAUUUUUGAAAGAUAAGAAAUAGUAUAAAUAAUACCGACCAAAGCAACAACCAUAAUCAUAAUUAUAAUGAUAAUGACGACGUCGACGACGAUACCAAGUACAUCAAGAGUUUGAUGGAAAAAUUAAUAACUAUUUUUAAAAACUAAAUGUCGUUAAACUGGUUGAUUUCGAAGUCAUCGUACAGACUCUGGUCGUCGAUCGGUGUUGGAAAAGGAAUCUCAACUCUGAUAUCGAUUCAAAAUAAUACAAGGGUUCGUUCAAACGCAGAGUAGUUGGAUAAUUGAAUGCAUAUUUCACCGUUACAAACAUACCUAUCACUCCACAAUGAGAUCAUAUUUGAAUCGAUUCAAUGGCAAAGCCUUCGAUUAAAGUACACCCCUAACACAAGACGGGCAAUUUGAAGUUUUUGUCAAACAUGGCCAACCUGAAUCAAUUUGAUAGUCUCGAUUAAUAUUCCGAAUUGCAUCGGUGAAAUGAUAGAAGCUGCAGAGGUAGCGGCUAUGAAAAGCGAUUGAAAAUUCAUGGAAGAAAGUGUGUCGCAAGCAAGAUUGAAUCGAUUGCCCGAUGUGGCGAAGAAAAAUGUAUCGAAAAAAUAAUCAACGUGACAUUUAGAAAUCAUUCCAAAAUUGAAAUCACACAAUUUGGUGAUUAUUCCAUACUUCAAAUUCUCCGUUGUACGAUCAAGAUUUCAACAUUAUACACAUAUAUGCGUACAAAAAAAUAUCCAACGUGAAAACAUGAAGAUUUGAAAUUGUCGUUUCAAAAUCUUCCGCCAUUUGACAAAGAGAGGAAGAAUAUAAUGGGGGAAAAGAAAAAAAGAACGAGUACCCGCGAGUCGAUAUACAGAAUCGCGCACGCGCGUAGAAUAGCAAUGUUUAUAAAUACCGUAUAUUCUGACAUAACGUUGAUUCGACGAACAAUAUUACGAAGUCGGUAGAUAACAGGGGUUGAAAAGUCCGUAUUGUGUACAGAUGUAGGCAAAAAAGAAAAUUAAUUUCAAAUAUUUAUCACGCGAGUCUCAAGUGUCCUCCCGACUAACGUAGUACGACGUCCGUCCCUUCCACGACUUUGGUUGGACAACCGAAACACAUGGCGGACGUAUUCGGACUUGGUCGACAAUUUCCGGCAUGCGAACGCCAGCACACGACACGAGCUCGUCGAAUGUCGAGAAACCAGAAUCGAAAUACAAAUACACAUAUAUCUACCGUGUAUGUGGAUAGAAAUUGAAUGAAAAAAUAAAAUAAAAAAUGAAAUAAAAUAAUGAAAAAA